rnacentral:rRNA from 1 species
UACGUAGGGGGCAAGCGUUGUCCGGAAUCAUUGGGCGUAAAGCGUGCGUAGGCGGCCCGGUAAGUCCGCUGUAAAAGUCCAGGGCUCAACCCUGGAAAGCCGGUGGAUACUGCCGGGCUAGAGUCCGGAAGAGGCGAGUGGAACUCCUGGUGUAGCGGUGGAAUGCGCAGAUAUCAGGAAGAACACCAACGGCGAAGGCAGCUCGCUGGGACGGUACUGACGCUGAGACGCGAAAGCGUGGGGAGCGAACAGG